GGAGCGCUCUAGAUUUCGGGGGACUGGCCCGGAGCCUGAGACGCUUCUGCUUGAGGCUGCUGCAUGUCAUGGAGCACUCUAGAUUUAGGGGGACUGGCCCGGAGCCUGAGACUCUUCUGCUUGAGGCUGCUGCAUGUCAUGGUUCACAGCGACUACAGCAGCACAGAGCAUCAGCAGCAGG